AACGAACGCUGGCGGCAUGCCUAACACAUGCAAGUCGAACGAGACCUUCGGGUCUAGUGGCGCACGGGUGCGUAACGCGUGGGAACCUGCCCUUAGGUUCGGAAUAACUCCCCGAAAGGGGUGCUAAUACCGGAUAAUGUCUUCGGACCAAAGAUUUAUCGCCUUUGGAUGGGCCCGCGUUGGAUUAGCUAGUUGGUAGGGUAAAAACCUACCAAGGCGACGAUCCAUAGCUGGUCUGAGAGGAUGAUCAGCCACACUGGGACUGAGACACGGCCCAGACUCCUACGGGAGGCAGCAGAGGGGAAUAUUGGACACUGGGCGAAAGCCUGAUCCAGCAAUGCCGCGUGAGUGAUGAAGGCCUUAGGGUUGUAAAGCUCUUUUACCCGGGAUGAUAAUGACAGUACCGGGAGAAUAAGCUCCGGCUAACUCCGUG
rnacentral:rRNA from 1 species